rnacentral:rRNA from 1 species
ACAGCAGUAGCCGCGGUAAUACGUAGGUGGCGAGCGUUGUCCGGAUUUAUUGGGCGUAAAGCGAGCGCAGGCGGUUAGAUAAGUCUGAAGUUAAAGGCUGUGGCUUAACCAUAGUACGCUUUGGAAACUGUUUAACUUGAGUGCAAGAGGGGAGAGUGGAAUUCCAUGUGUAGCGGUGAAAUGCGUAGAUAUAUGGAGGAGCACCGGUGGCGAAAGCGGCUCUCUGGCUUGUAACUGACGCUGAGGCUCGAAAGCGUGGGGAGCAAACAGGAUUAGAUACCCCCGUAGUCCCUGUCUCUUAUACA